UACCAGCACCCCGAGUGGCCGGGACGAUUAUUGGGCCUAAAGCAUCCGUAGCCGGCCUUACAAGUCCUCCGUUAAAUCCAGCUGCUUAACAGAUGGGCUGCGGAGGAUACUAUAAGACUAGGAGGCAGGAGAGGCAAGCGGUACUCAGUGGGUAGGGGUAAAAUCCGUUGAUCCAUUGAAGACCACCAGUGGCGAAGGCGGCUUGCCAGAAUGCGCUCGACGGUGAGGGAUGAAAGCUGGGGGAGCAAACCGG
rnacentral:rRNA from 1 species